rnacentral:rRNA from 1 species
UACGGAGGGUGCGAGCGUUGUUCGGAAUUACUGGGCGUAAAGGGCGCGUAGGCGGCCUGCUAAGUCGGAUGUGAAAUCCCUCGGCUUAACCGAGGAACUGCCUGUCAGACUGGAAGGCUUGAGACCGGGAGGAGGUGAGUGGAAUUCCCAGUGUAGCGGUGAAAUGCGUAGAUAUCUGGAGAACACCGGUGGCGAAAGCGGUUCACUGGCCCGACACUGACACUGAGGUGCGAAAGCUAGGUAGCAA